AUUGAACGCUGGCGGCAGGCCUAACACAUGCAAGUCGAGCGGAUGAAGGGAGCUUGCUCCUGGAUUCAGCGGCGGACGGGUGAGUAAUGCCUAGGAAUCUGCCUGGUAGUGGGGGAUAACGUCCGGAAACGGGCGCUAAUACCGCAUACGUCCGGAGGGAGAAAGGGGGGGAUCUUCGGACCUCACGCUACAAGAUGAGCCUAGGUCGGAUUAGCUAGUUGGUGGGGUAAAGGCCUACCAAGGCGACGAUCCGUAACUGGUCUGAGAGGAUGAUCAGUCACACUGGAACUGAGACACGGUCCAGACUCCUACGGGAGGCAGCAGUGGGGAAUAUUGGACAAUGGGCGAAAGCCUGAUCCAGCCAUGCCGCGUGUGUGAAGAAGGUCUUCGGAUUGUAAAGCACUUUAAGUUGGGAGGAAGGGCAGUAAGUUAAUACCUUGCUGUUUUGACGUUACCAACAGAAUAAGCACCGGCUAACUUCGUG
rnacentral:rRNA from 1 species